CAGCCGUAAACAAUGUGCGUUAGGUGUGUCGGUAACCACGUGUUACUGAUGCGCCGAAGAGAAAUCGUGAAACGCACCACCUGGGAAGUACGGUCGCAAGGCUGAAACUUAAAGGAAUUGGCGGGGGAGCACCACAACAGGUGGAGCCUGCGGUUUAAAUUGGACUCAACGCCGGGAAGCUCACCGGAUAAGACAGCGGAAUGAUUGCCGGGCUGAAGACUCUGCAUGACUAGCUGAGAGGAGGUGCAUGGCGUAGACGUCU
rnacentral:rRNA from 1 species